rnacentral:rRNA from 1 species
AGUGAACGCUGGCGGUAGGCCUAACACAUGCAAGUCGAACGGCAGCACAGUAAGAGCUUGCUCUUACGGGUGGCGAGUGGCGGACGGGUGAGGAAUACAUCGGAAUCUACUUUUUCGUGGGGGAUAACGUAGGGAAACUUACGCUAAUACCGCAUACGACCUACGGGUGAAAGCAGGGGAUCUUCGGACCUUGCGCGAUUGAAUGAGCCGAUGUCGGAUUAGCUAGUUGGCGGGGUAAAGGCCCACCAAGGCGACGAUCCGUAGCUGGUCUGAGAGGAUGAUCAGCCACACUGGAACUGAGACACGGUCCAGACUCCUACGGGAGGCAGCAGUGGGUAAUAUUGGACAAUGGGCGCAAGCCUGAUCAGCCAUACCGCGUGGGUGAAGAAGGCCUUCGGGUUGUAAAGCCCUUUUGUUGGGAAAGAAAAGCAGCAGGUUAAUACCCCGCUGUUCUGACGGUACCCAAAGAAUAAGCACCGGCUAACUUCGUG